GACGAACGCUGGCGGCGUGCUUAACACAUGCAAGUCGAGCGGUAAGGCCCUUUCGGGGGGUACACGAGCGGCGAACGGGUGAGUAACACGUGGGUGACCUGCCCUUAGCUCUGGGAUAAGCCUGGGAAACUGGGUCUAAUACCGGAUAUGACUCCAUGACGCAUGUUGUGGGGUGGAAAGCCUUGUGCGGCUAGGGGAUGGGCCCGCGGCCUAUCAGCUUGUUGGUGGGGUGAUGGCCUACAAGGCGACGACGGUAGCCGGCCUGAGAGGGCGACCGGCCACACUGGGACUGAGACACGGCCCAGACUCCUACGGGAGGCAGCAGGUGGGGAAUCUUGCGCAAUGGGCGAAAGCCUGACGCAGCGACGCCGCGUGGGGAUGACGG
rnacentral:rRNA from 1 species